rnacentral:pre_miRNA from 1 species
AGUGGGAUAGCUGGGUCAAAUGGUGGUCCUAUUCCCAGUUUUCCAGGGAUUCUCCAUACUGCUUUCCAUAUUGGCUGCACCAAUUUGCAGUCCCACCAGCAAU